rnacentral:rRNA from 1 species
GACGAACGCUGGCGGCGUGCUUAACACAUGCAAGUCGAACGGAAAGGCCCUGCUUUUGUGGGGUGCUCGAGUGGCGAACGGGUGAGUAACACGUGAGUAACCUGCCCUUGACUUUGGGAUAACUUCAGGAAACUGGGGCUAAUACCGGAUAGGAGCUCCUGCUGCAUGGUGGGGGUUGGAAAGUUUCGGCGGUUGGGGAUGGACUCGCGGCUUAUCAGCUUGUUGGUGGGGUAGUGGCUUACCAAGGCUUUGACGGGUAGCCGGCCUGAGAGGGUGACCGGCCACAUUGGGACUGAGAUACGGCCCAGACUCCUACGGGAGGCAGCAGUGGGGAAUAUUGCACAAUGGGCGGAAGCCUGAUGCAGCAACGCCGCGUGCGGGAUGACGGCCUUCGGGUUGUAAACCGCUUUCGCCUGUGACGAAGCGUGAGUGACGGUAAUGGGUAAAGAAGCACCGGCUAACUACGUGCCAGCAGCCGCGGUGAUACGUAGGGUGCGAGCGUUGUCCGGAUUUAUUGGGCGUAAAGGGCUCGUAGGUGGUUGAUCGCGUCGGAAGUGUAAUCUUGGGGCUUAACCCUGAGCGUGCUUUCGAUACGGGUUGACUUGAGGAAGGUAGGGGAGAAUGGAAUUCCUGGUGGAGCGGUGGAAUGCGCAGAUAUCAGGAGGAACACCAGUGGCGAAGGCGGUUCUCUGGGCCUUUCCUGACGCUGAGGAGCGAAAGCGUGGGGAGCGAACAGGCUUAGAUACCCUGGUAGUCCACGCUGUAAACGGUGGGUACUAGGUGUGGGGUCCAUUCCACGGGUUCCGUGCCGUAGCUAACGCUUUAAGUACCCCGCCUGGGGAGUACGGCCGCAAGGCUAAAACUCAAAGGAACUGACGGGGCCCCGCACAAGCGGCGGAGCAUGCGGAUUAAUUCGAUGCAACGCGUAGAACCUUACCCGGGUUUGACAUGGAUCGGGAGUGCUCAGAGAUGGGUGUGCCACUUUUGGGGUCGGUUCACAGGUGGUGCAUGGCUGUCGUCAGCUCAUGUCGUGAGAUGUUGGGUUAAGUCCCGCAACGAGCGCAACCCUUGUUCACUGUUGCCAGCACGUUAUGGUGGGGACUCAGUGGAGACCGCCGGGGUCAACUCGGAGGAAGGUGGGGAUGACGUCAAGUCAUCAUGCCCCUUAUGUCCAGGGCUUCACGCAUGCUACAAUGGCUGGUACAGAGAGUGGCGAGCCUGUGAGGGUGAGCGAAUCUCGGAAAGCCGGUCUCAGUUCGGAUUGGGGUCUGCAACUCGACCUCAUGAAGUCGGAGUCGCUAGUAAUCGCAGAUCAGCAACGCUGCGGUGAAUACGUUCCCGGGGCU